rnacentral:rRNA from 1 species
GACGGAGGGUGCGAGCGUUAUUCGGAAUCAUUGGGCGUAAAGAGUGUGUAGGCGGCCGGUUAAGUCAGGUGUGAAAGCCCAGGGCUCAACCCUGGAAGUGCACUUGAAACUGGUCGGCUUGAGUUCGGGAGAGGGAAGCGGAAUUCCUGGUGUAGAGGUGAAAUUCGUAGAUAUCAGGAGGAACAUCGGUGGCGAAGGCGGCUUCCUGGACCGAAACUGACGCUGAGACACGAAAGCGUGGGGAGCAAACAGG